GUGGGGAAUAUUGCACAAUGGGCGCAAGCCUGAUGCAGCAACGCCGCGUGAGGGAUGACGGCCUUCGGGUUGUAAACCUCUUUUAGUAGGGAAGAAGCGAAAGUGACGGUACCUGCAGAAAAAGCACCGGCUAACUACGUGCCAGCAGCCGCGGUAAUACGUAGGGUGCAAGCGUUGUCCGGAAUUAUUGGGCGUAAAGAGCUCGUAGGCGGCUUGUCGCGUCUGCUUUGAAAUCCCGGGGCUCGACCCCGGGCCUGCAGUGGGUACGGGCAGGCUAGAGUGCGGUAGGGGAGAUUGGAAUUCCUGGUGUAGCGGUGGAAUGCGCAGAUAUCAGGAGGAACACCGAUGGCGAAGGCAGAUCUCUGGGCCGCUACUGACGCUGAGGAGCGAAAGCAUGGGGAGCGAACAGGAUUAGAAACCCUGGUAGUCC
rnacentral:rRNA from 1 species